CGGGUGAGUAAUACAUAAAUAACCUGCCCCCUUGUCUGGAAUAACAGUUGGAAACGACUGCUAAUGCCGGAUAAAGUUCUUGGUAGCAUUGCUAAGAAAUAAAAGGUGCCUUGUGCAUCGCAAAGGGAUGGAUUUAUGGCGCAUUAGUUAGUUGGUGAGGUAACGGCUCACCAAGACGAUGAUGCGUAGCCGGCCUGAGAGGGUGACCGGCCACACUGGGACUGAGACACGGCCCAGACUCCUACGGGAGGCAGCAGUAGGGAAUUUUCGGCAAUGGGGGCAACCCUGACCGAGCGACGCCGCGUGAGUGAAGAAGGCCUUCGGGUUGUAAAGCUCUGUUGUAAGGGAAGAACCGUAGUGAUAGGUAAUGAUCACUACCUGACGGUACCUUACCAGAAAGCCACGGCUAACUACGUGCCAGCAGCCGCGGUAAUACGUAGGUGGCAAGCGUUAUCCGGAAUUAUUGGGCGUAAAGGGAGCGCAGGCGGUUUAUUAAGUCUGAUGUUAAAACACGGAGCUCAACUUCGUGAUGCAUUAGAAACUGGUAGACUAGAGUGCAGGAGAGGUAAGUGGAAUUCCAUGUGUAGCGGUAAAAUGCGUAGAUAUAUGGAGGAACAUCAGUAGCGAAGGCGGCUUACUGGCCUGUAACUGACGCUGAGGCUCGAAAGCGUGGGGAACAAAUAGGAUUAGAUACCCUAGUAGUCCACGCUGUAACCAGAAAAGUGCUAGGUGUUGGAGUAGAACUUCAGUCCCGUAGUUAACGCAAUAAAUUAUUCCGCUUGGGGAGUAUGCGCGCAAGCGUAAAACUCAAAGGAUUGACGGGGACCCGCACAAGCGGUGGAGUAUGUGGUUUAAUUCGAUGCAACGCGAAGAACCUUACCUGGUCUUGACAUAUAUUAAAAAGCUUAGAGAUAAGUAAUAGUUAUAGAUAUACAGGUGGUGCAUGGUUGUCGUCAGCUCGUGUCGUGAGAUGUUGGGUUAAGUCCCGUAACGAGCGCAACCCCUAUCUUUAGUUACCAUCAUUUAGUUGGGGACUCUAAAGAGACUGCCGGUGAUAAACCGGAGGAAGGUGGGGACGACGUCAAAUCAUCAUGCCCCUUAUGAUCAGGGCUACACACGUACUACAAUGGCAUAUACAAAGGGCAGCUACACAGCAAUGUGAUGCGAAUCUCAUAAAGUAUGUCUCAGUUCGGAUUGGAGUCUGCAACUCGACUCCAUGAAGCAGGAAUCGCUAGUAAUCGUGGAUCAGAAUGCCACGGUGAAUACGUUCUCGGGUCUUGUACACACCGCCCGUCAA
rnacentral:rRNA from 1 species